GGACUAUUAAGUCCCCGGAGACCAGGGUCUUCGUGGGUGCUGGGGGACAAAGGGAGGGGCAGAGAGGAAGUGCUGUCCCAGGACACCCCUGAGCUGGCUUCACACUUGUCACCUCAAGACGUGGGAGCAGCCUGGAGGCCUCUGUGGUAAAGGGAGGUAGGAAACGGCUUCAGAAGCCGGAGGGAAGUAAGUAGGAGGCAAAACGCUGCACUUACCACUUGGGCCUCAGUCUCCCUUCUGAAAAGCGGCGCCACCGCUCAGGACGCAUGCGUGUGCUGAGGCUUGAUGGACAUGCGCAAGUGGCGCGGGGCGGGCGCUCGGCAAACGCACGUUUCCUCCUUCCUGCUUCUAGCAAAAGCCCGGGAAAUGUUGAAAUGUUUACAAUUCAACGGACAUGUAUUUCGAAGCGGAUAAACACAAAGUUACGCUCUGACAUGCAGUGGUGAUCUGCCAUCUCUGCCUGCUCCCCACAUCGUGCCAGCUGGUCCAUCCCAAUGGGCAGAGUGGCAGGGGCACCGUGGGACCCUCCUCCCCAGCACAGAGCAGAUUCUUCCUCCCAGCCUCUGAGGAAACCACCCCCACUGACACCUUGACCUUGGACUUCCAGCCUCCAGAACUGUGAGAUAACCAAUUUCUCUUGUUUAUGUCACCCAACUGUAGUACUUUAUAAAGGCAGCCCCAGCAAACAGAGAUGGUGGGGCGCUGUGAGAGAGGACAGACCUCUGCCUCUUGCCACCUGUGUGACUUUUGAGAAGUUACUGACUGUCACCAAGACUAGUUCCUUUUUCUGUGAAAUGGGGUUAACACCAGUGACUGCCUCAC
rnacentral:lncRNA from 1 species